GAUGAACGCUGGCGGCGUGCUUAACACAUGCAAGUCGAACGGAAAGGCCCAAGCUUGCUUGGGUACUCGAGUGGCGAACGGGUGGGUAACACGUGGGUGAUCUGCCCUGCACUUCGGGAUAAGCCUGGGAAACUGGGUCUAAUACCGGAUAGGACGAUGGUUUGGAUGCCAUUGUGGAAAGUUUUUUCGGUGUGGGAUGAGCUCGCGGCCUAUCAGCUUGUUGGUGGGGUAAUGGCCUACCAAGGCGUCGACGGGUAGCCGGCCUGAGAGGGUGUACGGCCGCAUUGGGACUGAGAGACGGCCCAGACUCCUACGGGGGGCAGCAGUGGGGAAUAUUGCACAAUGGGCGCAAGCCUGAUGCAGCGACGCCGCGUGGGGGAUGACGGCCUUCGGGUUGUAAACUCCUUUCGCUAGGGACGAAGCGUUUUUGUGACGGUACCUGGAGAAGAAGCACCGGCUAACUACGUG
rnacentral:rRNA from 1 species